rnacentral:lncRNA from 1 species
AUGUAUGGGGACAGCUGCCCAGCGAUGAAAAUGACUAUCUUUCUCUUGCUUCUUCUAUUAGAUGACCCUGAGAUAGAAGCACAACAGUGGACGGAGGUGAAUGGACAAGUAUACGGACACGUUCUGCUGAGAUUUAUCUUUCCUCCCUUCUACAAUGGUUAUGAGAAGUUAUGUUCUAAACUAUAUCCUGGGCCAUUUCCUGUUGUGAAUACCAGAGGAUAUGUCAACAACUUCUACAAGGGACGAAUAUCGAGAACGGAAUACAACGGUGAGAUGUACGUUAUGAUAUGGAAUUUAAAACCUGUGGACGCUGGCGACUACAGGUGUGUUGUCAGCAGUGUGAAUCAUAUCUACUCUGACUUUCACCUCCAGAUUGAUAGUGGUCGACGUAGAGGUCCUGUACCCCCUCGACCUCGUGUCAGAUCAACCAUCAGACCCUCCAUCUCCUCAUCAUCAUCAGACACCUCUGUGCCUUUUUUCCCCAGUAUUUCCCGGAGUGUUGGUGUACCACUGGCUGCAGGUCUCUGCAUCUCAAUGGGGAUCGUUAUCUGUUCAAUCAUAGUUGCUGUGGUUCAUCGCAAAGUCAGGGCAAAAAGUAAGAGGACCCGCUUUCAGUUACAGCUUUCAGUGUUUCAUACAUGACUUGGCUGUUCGUGUUAAAUCGUCUUUCAAAUACACAGGCUGCGACCUUUAGCCAGUAGACGUUCAAUGAUUUCUGACAUUGUUGCACAGUGUCCUUUCUUUAAGUGGAUGUCAUUUUCACGUUCUUCACAGAGAAAUGUGGAGCAACUUCCAGUGACUCAGCAGCCCACGUCCUCUCAGUAAGAGCUAAACUUGGACGUUGUCUCCGUGACUCAGUGUCAAAUGUCCUGUUUUGUCCCAGAAACAACAAAGAGUAAUACUAGUGUUUGAGUUUGACGUCCCUGUGAUGUCUGUCGAUAUGUCUUCUGCAGUGGGCCCCGUAAUAAACAGUUUAUAAAAAAACAUAUACAUGUGUAUAAAUACAAAUUCUAAUAGUUAUAUACCUUAAUAAAGUGUUACCAAAUAAUAUUUAAUAUGUAUGUCUCCUGCAGCACGUCCCUCAAAAGGAGAGCAGUAUUGUCUACGCCACAGUGGACUUCAAACCUCAGGAGAACCAUACCACAGAGCUGUAUGCUAACCUACAGACACUCAGCAGCCCCAGAGGUCAUGACCCUGACACACACAGAGAGCCUGCUGGGACGGUGGUGUACUCCACGCUGGCUAGCAACCAACGCUGAACCAGAAUGUUACGUAUCUGUAUCUUUCUUAGCCUGGUGGUCACAGAUCUGUUUGUGCUGUCUUGAUAUGCUAUCAUGACCAGGCUAUCUGUAUAAUCCUUAGUUGCUACAUAUUUUUUUUAAAUUAAUGAUAUAUACUUAGAAAUGCCUCAUGAGCUUAGUUCAUCUGUCGUACCCCCAUCAGAACCCAAAAUAUAAGCUUGUUUUACUCCAAUGUUUAUAAACAAAGUAAAUGUAAUCAAACACAUUAUAGCCUCAACACAUGGUUAAAACUAUAGUGUUGAUAUCAUGGAUGGUCAGUUCUUUUAUCCAUAGCUCUGUCUAGGAUUUAGACACGCCCAUCCUUCCGCUUCUUACCAAAACAGAGGCGGGGUGCCACUUUGUUUCAACUUUGGUUUCUAGCUUUAAGAUGAUUGAUUUGUUUAUAUUCUUUUGACUUAUGAACUAUACAAAUAAAAUAACUACCCAUUCAUAUACGAGAUUGUUGUCUCUGGGCCUACCUGCCUCCACCAUGUUUGGGUCUAUGUCUCUGGGUUCUACCUGCCUCCACCAUGUUUGGGUCUAUGUCUCUGGGCCUAACUGCCUCCACCAUGUUUGGGUCUAUGUCUCUGGGUUCUACCUGCCUCCACUAUGUUCGGGUCUAUGUCUCUGGGUUCUACCUGCCUCCACUAUGUUUGAGUCUAUGACUUGGGCCACCUGCCUCCACCAUGUUUGGGUCUAUGUCUCUGGGUCUACCUGCCUCCACCAUGUUUGGGUCUAUGUCUCUGGGCCUACCUGCC